CCCGGGCCUGAGGACCGUUGGGGGGAGGGAAGAGGGACGGCCGGAGCGGGUGCUGGGCCCCGAGCUGGCGCGGAGUGGAGGAGCGGGGAGCUCGGCGGCGGGGCUCGCUCCCUGGAGGCCACCUCGAGGGGCUAAUGGAGGAUCGGGACGCUUAGAUGGUUCAGAGGCACGGAAAGAAAUGGCAGAGCUGGGUUCCCUGCACCCUGAGGUGGCCAGGGAGUACGUCGCUACGAGCGUGAAAUUAAUUGAACAGGCAUUGUGCCAGAUGCUAGCUAUGAAACAGUAUGAGAACAGUCUAUUGAGUAAUACAAAUGAAUAAACACAGAAACUCGUUUUGAUAUUUAGAGGUUAGUAUUCUGCGUUUUGGAGGGGAACUUAAGGAAGAAAGGGAACCCUUCCCCGAGAUCAUUUUUUAAAAUCAAUACCUCUGGUGAGGAAUUUGAAAGAGAUGACAUACAAAAUUGCAUCUCACGGUGAUACGUAGCGACAGUACAAAGAAACGAGACCCUUAAAAGGUACUACCCUAAACACUGAUCUGUUUGCUUCAGUAAGAUUUUUAUAGGGAAAGAUGCACCAACGAUUAGCCAACAUUUGAAAGACUAAUUCUUCCAAUGAGCUUGUUGUAAUGAAGAGAUUUAAGUUCAAAUCCAUCAACGUUGUUUGUGGUGGGAUAGUCUUUUUUUUUUUCUGUUUCAGUUUCUCAGUACUUGUUUACCCAUACCAGUUUUCUCGCUACUGUAAGAUUUCUGCUCCUGAUAUUUAUGUAAAAUUCUGAGCACACUUAAAGUUAGUUACUGUAGUAGUUUAGUAACAAUUGUUAACAGGUAAGAAUACUAUUUUGCAAAUUCUCCUUUUUGACAGAAAAAAGCCCAUAAGAGUUGCAGUUAGAUUUUCAGGACUAGAAACUGAGAUCUAGAUUUUAGUUGUUUAUUGCAUAACUUGAUCCGAAAGUGUCACUUAAGGUAUUUGUGUCCUUUCCUCUUAUUAUCCAUUCUUUAGAGGAAGGAGCCUACAAUUAGUCCAAGUUCUUAAAAUUGCAGGAAAGGGGGACCUAUACUGCAGAAAGCAAGCACUGGCAUCAAAAGUGAACCGUAUACCCAGUGGAUACAUGGUUUGUGCCACCACUAGAGGGGUAGAGAGGACCCUGGAGAAAAGUUAAAACAUAUCUGAGAACAUUGUUGUAACUUAUCCCGGAGAGCUGGUCGCUGUGUAAGAGAAUUCUGAUUUAAGGUCUGAAAAAUACUCUUAAGGUGUCGUUUAAAAAAAAAAUAACCUUGUGUCUUACUUGAAUGUUUCCCAUAGGUAAUUCCAGUUUUUCUUUCUGGUUCUUUUUACAUUUUUCUUUUGGUAGACUAAAUUGUUGGCUUAAGUGUGGAACGAAGGGUCUUUUUUCUGAUUCUGAACACACCUGAUUCUGAACAAACGUUCAGUUGAGGUACUAACCUACAAGCUUUUGUUAUUUGUUUCCAUCUAAAUUUAAACUUAAAUGGUUGUGGUCUCUGAAGUGUUUUAAUUCCUCUCUUUUCUGCUUUCAUAUCAGCCUUCUUAAAGCAGUCCAAGGUUAUAGUAGAUUGGGCUGAAUGUGGAGACUUGGAAGGUCUAAGAAUAUUCCUAAACCUAAUGCUACUUUAGGUUUCCAUUUCAGGUUUUCCUCCACUCCAGUACUAAAUUAGUCAUGGAUACCGGGGCUUAGACAGUCUCUUUGCUUAUUUGCCAUAAUUUCUACCAUUAUUUAUACCUUUAAACUUCAUUUAGUUUUAAGAAUUUAUAAGUUUAAUAUACUGGA